rnacentral:rRNA from 1 species
UACGAAGGGGGCUAGCGUUGCUCGGAAUUACUGGGCGUAAAGGGCGCGUAGGCGGACAGUUAAGUCAGAGGUGAAAGCCCAGGGCUCAACCCUGGAAUUGCCUUUGAUACUGGCUGUCUUGAGUACGGGAGAGGUGAGUGGAACUCCGAGUGUAGAGGUGAAAUUCGUAGAUAUUCGCAAGAACACCAGUGGCGAAGGCGGCUCACUGGCCCGAUACUGACGCUGAGGCACGAAAGCGUGGGGAGCAAACAGG